UAGUACAGGAUUUGAAGGAAUUUUAGUUGGAGUUGUGGAACUCUCUCACUUGGGAUAUAUAAAACAACCAAACUAUGUCUACUAAACAAGGUAAUGCAAGCAAGAGAUUUCUUGGAGAAGAAAUGGCACGAGAUGCCGAGGAGGAAGGCGGAACAAGGACAUCAAAAGAGUCAUCAUUAACUUCAUCUGAUGGAAUCAGCUACCCACAGCAGAAUCCAUUCAACUCCGAUAUGGACAAUGUUCCUCGAGCAACAGGCUUGUCCAUGAU